AGGAUAAACGCUGGCGGCGUGCAUGAGACAUGCAAGUCAAACGGACGAUCAGGGCUUGCUCUGGUCGUUAGUGGCGGACGGCUGAGUAACGCGUGGGUGACCUGCCCCGAAGUGGGGAAUAACUGCCCGAAAGGGUGGCUAAUACCGCAUGUGGUGGUGCGUUCAUUCGCACCAGUAAAGCCGCAAGGCGCUUCGGGAGGGGCCUGCGUCCGAUUAGCUCGUUGGUGGGGUAACGGCUCACCAAGGCGACGAUCGGUAGGUGGUCUGAGAGGACGAUCACCCAGACUGGGGACUGAGACACGGCCCAGACUCCUACGGGAGGCAGCAGUCGGGAAUUUUGCUCAAUGGACGAAAGUCUGAAGCAGCAACGCCGCGUGAGGGAUGAAGGCCUUCGGGUUGUAAACCUCUUUCAGCAGGGGAGAAGCCUUUCGGGGUGACGGUACCUGCAGAAGAGCACCGGCUAACUACGCGCCAGCAGCCGCGGU
rnacentral:rRNA from 1 species